AACAUUUACUGUGUGAGUUUUAAUGAUUUAUUGCUAAUGUGUCUUUCACACAUUAGCAAUAUGAGUGAGGAGAGCCUUAGCCAGGAGGAGAUGGAGGUGCUCUUUAAUUGGGACCAUCUUACAGAGAGAGGGGUAACUGAUAUGUGAUCCAUGAGGCGUUUGCUAUUCAUCUUACCUGCAUCGACAAUCAGAACUUCUUGUUUGUUAUGGGGAAGAAGAUUGUGAUGCGUCUGUCAGCAGUUAACAACCAGGAUGCAGGUCGUGUACAGCUGGCCUACGAGGCUCUGAUUCAUUUCCUGAAGACUCCUUCUUAUCAGGACUCGAUUGCAGCAGAGCUCUCCAGGUCCUAUGUCCACCACUACAACUUCGUGGACAUCUUUUUCGAGCUGCUUCUAUUUGGCUACUUCACAAACAGCUCAAUACCUGAGACA